rnacentral:rRNA from 1 species
GACGAACGCUGGCGGCGUGCUUAACACAUGCAAGUCGAACGGAAAGGCCCUGCUUUUGUGGGGUGCUCGAGUGGCGAACGGGUGAGUAACACGUGAGUAACCUGCCCUUGACUUUGGGAUAACUUCAGGAAACUGGGGCUAAUACCGGAUAGGAGCUCCUGCUGCAUGGUGGGGGUUGGAAAGUUUCGGCGGUUGGGGAUGGACUCGCGGCUUAUCAGCUUGUUGGUGGGGUAGUGGCUUACCAAGGCUUUGACGGGUAGCCGGCCUGAGAGGGUGACCGGCCACAUUGGGACUGAGAUACGGCCCAGACUCCUACGGGAGGCAGCAGUGGGGAAUAUUGCACAAUGGGCGGAAGCCUGAUGCAGCAACGCCGCGUGCGGGAUGACGGCCUUCGGGUUGUAAACCGCUUUCGCCUGUGACGAAGCGUGAGUGACGGUAAUGGGUAAAGAAGCACCGGCUAACUACGUGCCAGCAGCCGCGGUGAUACGUAGGGUGCGAGCGUUGUCCGGAUUUAUUGGGCGUAAAGGGCUCGUAGGUGGUUGAUCGCGUCGGAAGUGUAAUCUUGGGGCUUAACCCUGAGCGUGCUUUCGAUACGGGUUGACUUGAGGAAGGUAGGGGAGAAUGGAAUUCCUGGUGGAGCGGUGGAAUGCGCAGAUAUCAGGAGGAACACCAGUGGCGAAGGCGGUUCUCUGGGCCUUUCCUGACGCUGAGGAGCGAAAGCGUGGGGAGCGAACAGGCUUAGAUACCCUGGUAGUCCACGCUGUAAACGGUGGGUACUAGGUGUGGGGUCCAUUCCACGGGUUCCGUGCCGUAGCUAACGCUUUAAGUACCCCGCCUGGGGAGUACGGCCGCAAGGCUAAAACUCAAAGGAAUUGACGGGGCCCCGCACAAGCGGCGGAGCAUGCGGAUUAAUUCGAUGCAACGCGUAGAACCUUACCUGGGUUUGACAUGGAUCGGGAGUGCUCAGAGAUGGGUGUGCCUCUUUUGGGGUCGGUUCACAGGUGGUGCAUGCCUGUCGUCAGCUCGUGUCGUGAGAUGUUGGGUUAAGUCCCGCAACGAGCGCAACCCUUGUUCACUGUUGCCAGCACGUUAUGGUGGGGACUCAGUGGAGACCGCCGGGGUCAACUCGGAGGAAGGUGGGGAUGACGUCAAGUCCUCAUGCCCCUUAUGUCCAGGGCUUCACGCAUGCUACAAUGGCUGGUACAGAGAGUGGCGAGCCUGUGAGGGUGAGCGGAUCUCGGAAAGCCGGUCUCAGUUCGGAUUGGGGUCUGCAACUCGACCUCAUGAAGUCGGAGUCGCUAGUAAUCGCAGAUCAGCAACGCUGCGGUGAAUACGUUCCCGGG